GAUCUACUUUCCUUCCUUGCCAGUCGUCUAGUCGCCAUUUUGGACGCGGUGACAAGUGCACACGGUGUUUCGUCGCUCCGCAUAAUUACAGAUUUCUAAGAAUUUCUACAUACAGAGCGUCGAAUAUACCAGUGUUUACAUCUUUUCGAUACGACAUGUUAUCCGCCAUCGAAUUUACUCCUGCAGCUAUUAUUUUAUUUUAGAAUUAUUAUAUAUUAUGACAGAGUUUAUUACAUUUUUAUUAUUACAUUUUUACAAAGUAUUAGAGUCAGUGUUUGCUCACGUCGUUACUAUUUAUUUCUAUAUUUAAAUUAGUUGAUUAAAUGAAAGUGUAUUAAAAUAAA